CACUCAACCUCGAAAAUAGAAACAAAAAAAAAAACAUUACAAUGACACCAAUAUCAGAUAACAUCUCUGAGAUUAGCCGGGUGAAGGAAUCUUGAAGCAUAGUUGUACGGAUUGUCCGUGUUUGGUUUGUUCGUGACGUCAAUCGCGACACACAUCCGUUUUCUCUUGAUAUGGUUCUCAUGAUGCAUCUGAAACAAGAUUCACGCCACUAUGAGAAGAACUUUGAUUUACAAAUUUGAGAAGGACCCGCACGAAGGAAAGGUCUACUCUAUGAGUAACUUUGGUGUUGCUGUGAAUCUUGGAUCUUAUCGGACCACAAAGCACGAAUACAAACUCAAUUUUCAGUUUAACACCAAAGUGAAAUUAUGUGACAAAAAUGGUGUGCCUUCAGAUAUCUAUCUGAUAGCAAAUCUUAUUGAUGUAUUCAACUCUGAAUAUGACACAGAUUACUUAGUCAGUAUGAAAAUUAAAAUUUAAUUGUUUGUGGUUUUUAUCAUUUAUAUUGCUUGUUCAUUGAUUCGAUUUCAUUUGCAUGUAGAUGUCAUGAGUAUGUUGACCGGUGUUGGUAUGCAAAGGGAAUAUGAACGAAAUGGAGCCAAAACUAAGAUGGUGGCCAUGGAGUUGGAUUAUGAUGGGUUUAAAUUUAAGGUCACUCUUUUUGGACAAUAUACUGAGGAACUUGAUGUUUUUGUUGCUGCCGGGGAGAUCGAAAAAGUAGUUGUGGUUGUCUUGCUGGCCAAAGUUAAGAUCUGGCAAGGUAACAAUUUUGUGUUACACCUGAAUUACGUUUUUUUUUUCUUUUCUUUUUCAAAUAGAUAUGUGCAAACUUA